rnacentral:rRNA from 1 species
AUACUAGAGUAGCACUCGCAUAUCAAUAAGCGGAGGAAAAGAAACUAACAAGGAUUCCCCUAGUAACGGCGAGUGAAGCGAGAAGAGCUCAAAUUUGAAAUCUUAAAGGGUUUCCCUUUACGAAUUGUAGUUUAAAGAAGUGUUUUCUGUUGAGGUUUUGGUAAAAGUUCUUUGGAAUAGGACAUCAUAGAGGGUGAGAAUCCCGUAUUUGACCUUUACUUUCAACUUUGUGAUACACUUUCAAAGAGUCGGAUUGUUUGGGAAUGCAGUCCAAAAUGGGUGGUAAAUUUCAUCUAAAGCUAAAUAUUGGCGAGAGACCGAUAGCGAACAAGUACCGUGAGGGAAAGAUGAAAAGAACUUUGAAAAGAGAGUUAAACAGUACGUGAAAUUGUCAAAAGGGAAGCGUUUGACACCAGUGUUGUUUUUCUGAAAAUCAAUUAAAGAACUGUUUAUGCUAAGCUGUUUAGACUUUAUCAGCUAUCUGUUUAGUUUUGAGCUUUUCUUUAAUGCACUUUUCAGUUAACAAGUCAACAUCAAUUUCUUUUGCUGUAAAAAAGCUUGAGGAAGGUGGCUUGAGAUUCGUCUUAAGUGUUUAUAGCCUCUUGCCUAUGCAGUCGGAGAGAUUGAGGUCUGCAGCGUAGAUCCUUCGGGGCUAAAUGCAUUUGUGCUAAGUUAUAGCAUUUUAUAGACAACUUGUUGACUAUGAUUUGUCUUGUAGCUUACUCGCUCAUGUUAUUUUACCUACGCUUAGGAUGUUGAACUACUGAGACAUAGA